rnacentral:rRNA from 1 species
GACGAACGCUGGCGGCGUGCUUAACACAUGCAAGUCGAACGGAAAGGCCCCUUUGGGGGUCCUCGAGUGGCGAACGGGUGAGUAACACGUGAGUAACCUGCCCUUGACUUCGGGAUAACUUCAGGAAACUGGGGCUAAUACCGGAUAGGAAUCCUUGCUGCAUGGUGGGGGGUGGAAAGCUUCGGCGGUUUUGGAUGGACUCGCGGCUUAUCAGCUUGUUGGUGGGGUAGUGGCUUACCAAGGCUUUGACGGGUAGCCGGCCUGAGAGGGCGACCGGCCACAUUGGGACUGAGAUACGGCCCAGACUCCUACGGGAGGCAGCAGUGGGGAAUAUUGCACAAUGGGCGGAAGCCUGAUGCAGCAACGCCGCGGGCGGGAGGACGGCCUUCGGGUUGUAAACCGCUUUCAGCAGGGGCGAAGCUUGUGGUGACGGUACCUGCAGAAGAAGCACCGGCUAACUACGUG